rnacentral:piRNA from 1 species
UACCUGUGCAUCUAUACCUGUAUGCCUGAA